AAAAAGGAAAACAAGCCGACGUAUCAGAAGAAUGUAUGUAUAUACCUGCAUAUAAACAACAAAAUUAAAAGCAAACGUAACACAUAAAUGAGCUAACAGAAAAAAUUAAACAAGCAACAAAAAGAUCCAAACAGCUACAAACAUAAGCAAGGCUAUUCCGCAAGAUUUACGCCAAAAAAAUUAAAAAAUUGCUAGAACUAACUUAACUGAAAAUAUAUAAACAUAAAGAAGAAAAAACACAAAAAUAGCAAACCCUCAACAAUAGACAGACGCCAUGCUCAUUAUUUAUUGCAAACUGCGUUGCAAAAGCUGGUAAAAAGCUUUCAACAGCAACAACAACAACACAUUCAACGAAUGCGAUUUUCCAAGCCACGCAUGCGCGUAGCAGUGCACUCACACAACAAAGAAGAAAGACAGUGAGAAAGUCGUGCAACUGUAAGCACUCUCCUAACAUAGGUACGUUCGCACUGCCUAGAAAUAACAGUAAAUACACAGGCAAAUGAGCUCUAUGCAUGAGAGCGACGCGCGCAACAAGGAGCACACGCUCUUGAGUAAAUCACAUGAAACGCAAGUAACGCGUCUAGAUCA